GGGAAAUAUUGAAAAAAAGUGUUUACGUGAGUGGCUAAACGAAGAAUAAUUAAUAUCAUGUUGUGACGUCGUGACUCAUUCCUUCGUUUCACUUGUUACCUGCAUCUAGGUUAUACAGUAUUGAUAUGUGAAAUGUAUUGGUCCCAGAUUUGAUCAUUACAGAGUUUGUAAGAGUUUUAAACCUCAUUUCACAUUUUAUUUAACUUAUUAUCUCGUUUACAAAUAUAGCUCCAACAGAUUACACGAGUUGAUUUGUUGCAACAUAUUUCGACAAAAUAAAUUUAAAAGGUUGGAAACAUGUGAAGAAGAGAACCCUCAGGACCAUAUAUAUGCCUUAAGUAGAUUAUUAUAAGUGAUGAAGAGCAAGUUUGGAAGUAAAUGCCAAAGCACAAAGAUGCCUUGCUGUAUUGAGAGAGGAACAGAUAAAUGCUAUGCAAUCAAUCAUUGAAUUUCCAGAUGAUGGUAUUUAACUUGUACCGAAACUUUGGUUUUGUGAUGAUGCCUGUGGCCUAACUAUGUGAAUCAACUAAACAUGAACAAUAGCUGCUUACAGGACAUAGAAAGGAGAGGACCAGUAGCAGCAUCUCCAAAGAAAGCAGUAAUUCAAAUGUGGGGAAAUUGGAGUAAAUGUAUUAAUCUAGUUAUUUAUUGUA